ACAAAUCCUUGAGCUGUUAAAUAAAGAUACAACUUCUGACUGUCAAGUUAACAUGGCAGGUAUAACAAGUAACUUAUUGUCUAAGGACUAUUUGUAUAUGCGAAUUGUAGAUUCUGGUGCCAUUCAUCACAUAGUAACUUCGAAUGAUAUACCAAUGAAUGACAAUAAGACUACCAGGACUUCUAGUAAUGUGGUUGGAUUACCUAAUCGAGAUAUGAUUCCAAUUGCACUUAGUGGUUAGGCUGCUAUAUUUGGGAAUAAACAAUACAUGAUGAUGUCCUUUAUGUUAUGGAUUCAAGUUUAGCCUUUUCUCAAUCUCCAAACUAACCGAGGAACUCUGCUGCUCAGUGAACUUUUAUCCUGACUUAAUGUUGUUUCAGGAUAUUUACAGUGCUAGGGUGAAAGGGAUAGGUAAGGAGACAAGGGGCUUGUAUAUAUUCAAGGGAAUCAAUAGCAUCAAUAAGGAACAACAUACACAUGGCAUAGUUGUUGCUGCAACAGUAAAGAAAGAUUGCAGGCUGUGGCAUCAAAGACUUAGACAUUCAUCUCUUCCAUCCAUGAAGAUUAUCACCUUAAUAAGCAAUAAUGUAAAUAGUGAGUCAUUGAAUAACUAUCUAGUCUGUCCAUUAGCCAAACAAACUAGACUGAUGUUUCUUAAUAGUACAUCCAGAGCUAAAGCUUAUUUCUCUGUUAUUCAUCUGGAUCG
rnacentral:lncRNA from 1 species